CUCAUAAUCACAGCAUUCCAUAUACAGAAGAAAAAAAAAAGGAUCGAGGGAUGGAGAAAUGUUCCUUCAACUACUUAGCUCUGUUCAUGAUUUCAGUAUUGCUUAUAUGCUCAUGUAAUUUGCAGUACUCAGAAGUGGAAGCAAGGAAUAUAAAUCUCCCAUGCAAGACUGUUGAUGAUUGUAGUGAUGAUCCAUCACGGUGCCAAUGUGUACUCAACCUUUGUUUUUGCCACCUUCCUGCAGCAGCAGCUCAUGAUCAAAUCAUGAAUUUCAUGAUUAAACAAAAUGAAACUGAUCCUCAGCGUACAUGAAAAAGUACGCUCCGUCAAUCCCCAGAAGUACUAAUAAUAUUGUAGUACUGGUCCACCUUAUAAGAAAUAAAUUAAUAAAAGGAUCUCCUGAUCGUUCUUCUUAA